CCAGGCCAAAUAGGCAGGGUGUGAGAAUGGAACAUGAGAAGCACGGCUCCAAGCACUGCUGUGAAAGGUUGGUUUCUGCCCUUCUUGCUUCAGUCUCCUUACCAGCACGCUGCUAUGCACCACGGUUGUGCCGGGAUGUUGUGCCUCAGUGGCUGAGAAAAGCCCUUCCAGUACAUGUAUAAGAUAUCCAGAGGCACAGGAACCGAAACUGAAGAAAACAUUUGUGGGGUUCCACAGAGACGGAAGCUGCCACUGGUCUGCACGUGUGAAUCCUGCUGGUGCACUUUGGAACUUGGAAGGAUAACCUGCUGCUUGCCCAUAAUGAAAGCUGAAUGUAAAACUGGCCAUAUUCAAAUUCCCAGUGCCCAGCAAACUGGGGUGUGGGGACUUAAGGCAGAAGAGAGGGGAAAAACCAGGCCGUUCUCUGCAGGACAUUCAUUUGGAGCUGAAAUAUCACUGAUUAAAAACCAAAGCAAAAAGCCAGCUAUCUGA
rnacentral:lncRNA from 1 species